AUUGAACGCUGGCGGCAUGCUUUACACAUGCAAGUCGAACGGUAACAGGCCGCAAGGUGCUGACGAGUGGCGAACGGGUGAGUAAUGCAUCGGAACGUGCCCAGUCGUGGGGGAUAACUACUCGAAAGAGUAGCUAAUACCGCAUACGAUCUAUGGAUGAAAGCGGGGGACCGUAAGGCCUCGCGCGAUUUGAGCGGCCGAUGUCAGAUUAGGUAGUUGGUGGGGUAAAGGCUCACCAAGCCAACGAUCUGUAGCUGGUCUGAGAGGACGACCGGCCACACUGGGACGGAGACACGGCCCAGACUCCUACGGGAGGCAGCAGGGGGGAAUUUUGGACAAGGGGCGCAAGCCUGAUCCAGCAAUGCCGCGUGCAGGAAGAAGGCCUUCGGGUGGUAAACUGCUUUUGUACGGAACGAAACGGCUCUGGUUAAUACCCGGGGCUAAUGACGGUACCGUAAGAAUAAGCACCGGCUAACUACGU
rnacentral:rRNA from 1 species